GAUUGACCUCGGAUCAGGUAGGGAUACCCGCUGAACUUAAGCAUAUCAAUAAGCGGAGGAAAAGAAACCAACAGGGAUUGCCUCAGUAACGGCGAGUGAAGCGGCAAUAGCUCAAAUUUGAAAUCUGACCCGUCUCGGGUCCGAGUUGUAAUUUGUAGAAGGAUGCUUCGGGUUCGAUCGCGGCCUAAUUCGCUUGGAACAGCGAGUCGUAGAGGGUGAGAAUCCCGUCUGGGGCCGUGAGCCGCGCCCGUGUGAAGCUCCUUCGACGAGUCGAGUUGUUUGGGAAUGCAGCUCUAAAUGGGUGGUAAAUUUCAUCUAAAGCUAAAUAUUGGCCAGAGACCGAUAGCGCACAAGUAGAGUGAUCGAAAGAUGAAAAGCACUUUGAAAAGAGAGUUAAACAGUAUGUGAAAUUGUUGAAAGGGAAGCGCUUGCCACCAGACUUGUGCGUGACGGUUCCCCCGGUCCUCUGGACCGGGCUAAUCCGCCACGUCCAGGCCAGCAUCGGUUUGGGCGGUCGGUUAAAGGUCCCGGGAAUGUAUCUANCCUCCGGGUCGANCUUAUAGCCCGGGAUGCAAUGCGGCCCGCCCGGACCGAGGAACGCGCUCCGGCUCGGAUGCUGGCGUAAUGGUGGCAAGCGGCCCGUCUUGAAACACGGACCAAGGAGUCUAACAUCUAUGCGAGUGUUUGGGCGUCAAACCCCUACGCGGAAUGAAAGUGAACGGAGGUGAGAACCCCUUCCGGGGGCGCAUCAUCGACCGAUCCUGAUGUCUUCGGAUGGAUUUGAGUAAGAGCAUAGCUGUUGGGACCCGAAAGAUGGUGAACUAUGCCUGAAUAGGGUGAAGCCAGAGGAAACUCUGGUGGAGGCUCGCAGCGGUUCUGACGUGCAAAUCGAUCGUCAAAUUUGGGCAUAGGGGCGAAAGACUAAUCGAACCAUCUGGUAGCUGU
rnacentral:rRNA from 1 species